rnacentral:rRNA from 1 species
CUACGUGCCAGCAGCCGCGGUAAUACGUAGGUCCCGAGCGUUGUCCGGAUUUAUUGGGCGUAAAGCGAGCGCAGGCGGUUAGAUAAGUCUGAAGUUAAAGGCUGUGGCUUAACCAUAGUACGCUUUGGAAACUGUUUAACUUGAGUGCAAGAGGGGAGAGUGGAAUUCCAUGUGUAGCGGUGAAAUGCGUAGAUAUAUGGAGGAACACCGGUGGCGAAAGCGGCUCUCUGGCUUGUAACUGACGCUGAGGCUCGAAAGCGUGGGGAGCAAACAGGAUUAGAUACCCUGGUAGUCCACGCCGUAAACGAUGAGUGCUAGGUGUUAGACCCUUUCCGGGGUUUAGUGCCGUAGCUAACGCAUUAAGCACUCCGCCUGGGGAGUACGACCGCAAGGUUGAAACUCAAAGGAAUUGACGGGGGCCCGCACAAGCGGUGGAGCAUGUGGUUUAAUUCGA